rnacentral:rRNA from 1 species
AUUGAACGCUGGCGGCAUGCCUUACACAUGCAAGUCGAACGGUAACGGGCCUUCGGGUGCCGACGAGUGGCGAACGGGUGAGUAAUGCAUCGGAACGUACCUUUCAGUGGGGGGUAACGUAGCGAAAGUUACGCUAAUACCGCAUAUUCUGUGAGCAGGAAAGCAGGGGAUCGCAAGACCUUGCGCUGAUUGAGCGGCCGAUAUCAGAUUAGCUAGUUGGUGAGGUAAAGGCUCACCAAGGCGACGAUCUGCAGCGGGUCUGAGAGGAUGAUCCGCCACACUGGAACUGAGACACGGUCCAGACUCCUACGGGAGGCAGCAGUGGGGAAUUUUGGACAAUGGGGGCAACCCUGAUCCAGCCAUGCCGCGUGAGUGAAGAAGGCCUUCGGGUUGUAAAGCUCUUUCGGCCGGGAAGAAAUCGUAUCAGCUAAUACCUGGUGCGGAUGACGGUACCGGCAUAAGAAGCACCGGCUAACUACGUGCCAGCCGCCGCGGUAAGAC